rnacentral:rRNA from 1 species
CGGCCAGACUCCUACGGGAGGCAGCAGUGGGGGAUAUUGCACAAUGGGGGAAACCCUGAUGCAGCGAUGCCGCGUGUGGGAAGACGGUCCUCUGGAUUGUAAACCACUGUCCCCAGGGACGAAGAUGACGGUACCUGGGGAGGAAGCUCCGGCUAACUACGUGCCAGCAGCCGCGGUAAUACGUAGGGAGCAAGCGUUGUCCGGAAUUACUGGGUGUAAAGGGAGCGUAGGCGGGAUGGCAAGUUGGGUGUUAAAUCUACCGGCUCAACUGGUAGUCGCACUCAAAACUGCUAUUCUUGAGUGAAGUAGAGGCAGGCGGAAUUCCUAGUGUAGCGGUGAAAUGCGUAGAUAUUAGGAGGAACACCAGUGGCGAAGGCGGCCUGCUGGACUGCAACUGACGUUGGGGCUCGAAGGCGUGGGGAGCAAACAGGAUUAGAUACCCCGGUA